GGCAAGGUGGCCGAGUGGUCUAAGGCGCUAGUUUUAGGAAUCCUACAGGAAACCACUAGUUCGAAAGAGCAUGGGUUCGAAUCCCAUCCUUGUCA